CACACUUAAUGCUCAGACCUCAUCAGACUCCACACAAGAACAGUUCACCUCAAUAUGGGCAGCAGGUCAUAGGACAAGGACUCUUUAAGUAGGUAAAGACUGCGUGAAGAGACAACUUAGCAGAGUGAGAGAACUUACACCGAACAUGAAGAUAAUGGUUUGAAUCUUUCUUGUCUCCCAAAAGCUUAUCCUUUCCAAUGGUUUUAUUGGUUUAUAUUAAUUAUACAUAAUAAAGGAUUCAUUGAGACAUUUUCUUUUUUUAAACUUUCCAAUAAUUUUAUUUUUAUUUUUCAAAAUUUUUUAAAUUUGUUUUUUUAGAUAUUUUCUUUAUUUACAUUUCAAAUUUUAUCCCCUUUCCUCAUUUCCACUCUAGCCCCCCCCUCCCCCAAUAACUAACCUACCCCCUCCUGCUUCCUUGUCCUAGCAUUCCCAUACACUGGGGCAUAGAACAUUCACAGGACUAAGGACCACUGAUGACCGACUAGGCCAUUCUCUGCUACAUAUGGAGCUGGAGCCAUGGGUCCCUCCAUGUAUACACUUUCGUUGGUGGUGUAGUCCCUGGAAGUGCUGGGGUUACUGGUUAGUUCAUAUUGUUGUUCCUCCUAGGGUGCCAAAAACCCCUUCAGCUCCUUGGGUCCUUUCUCUAACUCCUCCAUUGGGGACCCUGUGCUCAGUUCAAUGUAUGGUUAUGAACAUCCACUUCUGUCUUUGUCAGGCACUGGCAGAGUCUCUCAAGAGACAGCUAUAUCAGGCUCCUGUCAGAAAGCACUUGCUGGCAUCCACAAUAGUGUCUGGGUUUGGUAACUGUACA
rnacentral:lncRNA from 1 species